ensembl:snoRNA
AUGCACAACUAAGUGACUUGAUAGCCUACUUGUGGCCUUGAGGUUUCAUUCUUGUGCAAGAUUAAACUUCAGUUUGCAGAUGGGAUGAGCUUUAACCUGUGGCUUGCUCCCUUUCGAAGGCUGGGGAUAAUU